AGGACAAACGCUGGCGGCGUACUUAAGACAUGCAAGUCGAACGGGCGCUUCACCUUCGGGUGGGUGUGCUAGUGGCGGACGGGUGAGUAACGCGUAGGAACCUGUCAUCAAGAGGGGGAUAACGCUGGGAAACCGGCGCUAAUACCGCAUGUGGUCAUGAAAAUGAAGAAAGCAGCAAUGCGCUUGAUGAGGGGCCUGCGUCCGAUUAGCUUGUUGGUGGGGUAAAGGCCUACCAAGGCAUCGAUCGGUAGCUGGUCUGAGAGGAUGGUCAGCCACACUGGGACUGAGACACGGCCCAGACUCCUACGGGAGGCAGCAGUUAGGAAAUUUUCCCAAUGGGCGCAAGCCUGAGGGAGUAACGCCGCGUGGAGGAUGACGGCUUUCGGGUUGUAAACUCCUUUCUGUGGGAGAGUAGAGACGGUACCGCAGGAAUAAGCCUCGGCUAACUACGUGCCAGCAGCCGC
rnacentral:rRNA from 1 species